AGUGAACGCUGGCGGUAGGCCUAACACAUGCAAGUCGAGCGGCAGCACAGUAAGAGCUUGCUCUUACGGGUGGCGAGUGGCGGACGGGUGAGGAAUACAUCGGAAUCUACUUUUUCGUGGGGGAUAACGUAGGGAAACUUACGCUAAUACCGCAUACGACCUACGGGUGAAAGCAGGGGAUCUUCGGACCUUGCGCGAUUGAAUGAGCCGAUGUCGGAUUAGCUAGUUGGCGGGGUAAAGGCCCACCACGGCGACGAUCCGUAGCUGGUCUGAGAGGAUGAUCAGCCACACUGGAACUGAGACACGGCCCAGACUCUUACGGUAGGAAGCAGUGGGGAAUAUUGGACAAUGGGCGCAAGCCUGAUCCAGCCAUACCGCGUGGGUGAAGAAGGCCUUCGGGUUGGAAAGCCCUUUUGUUGGGAAAGAAAAGCAGCAGGUUAAUACCCCGCUGUUCUGACGGUACCCAAAGAAUAAGCACCGGCUAACUUCGUG
rnacentral:rRNA from 1 species